rnacentral:rRNA from 1 species
UACGAAGGGGGCUAGCGUUGCUCGGAAUGACUGGGCGUAAAGGGCGCGUAGGCGGUUUGCACAGUCGGGCGUGAAAUUCCAGGGCUCAACCUUGGGGCUGCGUUCGAGACGUGUGGGCUAGAGUGUGGAAGAGGGUCGUGGAAUUCCCAGUGUAGAGGUGAAAUUCGUAAGAUAUUGGGAAGAACACCGGUGGCGAAGGCGGCGACCUGGUCCAUUUACUGACGCU